rnacentral:misc_RNA from 1 species
GAUGAAGAACGCAGCGAAAUGCGAUAAGUAAUGUGAAUUGCAGAAUUCAGUGAAUCAUCGAAUCUUUGAACGCAUCUUGCGCUCCUUGGUAUUCCUUGGAGCAUGCCUGUUUGAGUAUCAUGAGCAAAUCUCAAAGUCAAUUCCUUUUGUUAAUUCAAUUGGUUUUGCUUUGGACUUGGAGGUCUUGCAGAUUUCACAGUCUGCUCCUCUUAAAUGCAUUAGCUGGAUCUCAGUAAUUAUGCUUGGUUCCACUCGGCGUGAUAAGUAUCACUCGCUGAGGACACUGUUAAAAAGGUGGCCAGGAAAAUACUGAUUGAACCGCUUCUAACGGUCUAUUAAGUUAGACAAUUACCCUUAAGUUUGAUCUCAAAUCAGGUAGGACUACCCGCUGAACUUAAGCAUAUCAAUAAGCGAGG